rnacentral:rRNA from 1 species
GAAUAUUGGGCAAUGGGCGAGAGCCUGACCCAGCCAUGCCGCGUGCGGGAAGAAGGCCUUCGGGUUGUAAACCGCUUUUGGCAGGAACGAAACGGCGCGGGCUAAUACCUCGCGUUAAUGACGGUACCUGCAGCAUAAGCACCGGCUAACUACGUGCCCGCCGCCGCGGUAAUCCGUAGGGUGCAAGCGUUAAUCGGAAUUACUGGGCGUAAAGCGUACGCAGGCGGCUUUGCAAGACAGGUGUGAAAUCCCCGGGCCUAACCUGGGAACUGCAUUUGUGACUGCAUGGCUAGAGUCUGUCAGAGGGGGGUGGAAUUCCACGUGUAGCAGUGAAAUGCGUAGAGAUGUGGAAGAACACCGAUGGCGAAGGCAGCCCCCUGGGAUAAGACUGACGCUCAUGUACGAAAGCGUGGGGAGCAAACAGG